GCCAGACUCCUACGGGAGGCAGCAGUGGGGGAUAUUGCACAAUGGGGGGAACCCUGAUGCAGCGACGCCGCGUGGGUGAAGGAGCGUUUCGGCGCGUAAAGCCCUAUCGGCAGGGAAGAAGGAGGACGGUACCUGACUAAGAAGCCCCGGCUAACUACGUGCCAGCAGCCGCGGUAAUACGUAGGGGGCAAGCGUUAUCCGGAUUUACUGGGUGUAAAGGGGGCGCAGACGGCAGCGCAAGCCAGGAGUGAAAGCCCGGGGCCCAACCCCGGGACUGCUCUUGGAACUGCGCGGCUGGAGUGCAGGAGGGGCAGGCGGAAUUCCUGGUGUAGCGGUGAAAUGCGUAGAUAUCAGGAGGAACACCGGUGGCGAAGGCGGCCUGCUGGACUGCGACUGACGUUGAGGCCCGAAAGCGUGGGGAGCAAACAGGAUUAGAUACCCCGGUACCC
rnacentral:rRNA from 1 species